AGCGGCAGACGGGUGAGUAACGCGUGGGAACAUACCUAAUAGUACGGAAUAACGAUUGGAAACGAUCGCUAAUACCGUAUACGCCCUUCGGGGGAAAGAUUUAUCGCUAUUAGAUUGGCCCGCGUUGGAUUAGUUAGUUGGUGGGGUAAUGGCCUACCAAGACGACGAUCUAUAGCUGGUCUGAGAGGAUGAUCAGCCACACUGGGACUGAGACACGGCCCAGACUCCUACGGGAGGCAGCAGUGGGGAAUAUUGGACAAUGGGGGAAACCCUGAUCCAGCCAUGCCGCGUGAGUGAUGAAGGCCUUAGGGUUGUAAAGCUCUUUCGCUAGGGAAGAUAAUGACGGUACCUAGUAAAGAAGCCCCGGCUAACUUCGUGCCAGCAGCCGCGGUAAUACGAAGGGGGCUAACGUUGUUCGGAUUUACUGGGCGUAAAGCGCACGUAGGCGGAUUAGUAAGUUAGGGGUGAAAUCCCGAGGCUCAACCUCGGAACUGCCUUUAAUACUGCUAGUCUAGAGAUCGGGAGAGGUGUAUGGAACUCCUAGUGUAGAGGUGGAAUUCGUAGAUAUUAGGAAGAACACCAGUGGCGAAGGCGAUACACUGGCCCGAUACUGA
rnacentral:rRNA from 1 species